rnacentral:lncRNA from 1 species
GUGAUUCAGUUAAAAACUGAAUUAACUGAAAUCAAUUCAACAACAACUGCCCCGGUGCUUCCCCGUAGAUAGCACCGCUGUUGUUUCAGGAACACAGUCAUCCCUCAGAAAUGGAUUGGGUGACAAGUGGUCUGCAUGCUGCACACGGGCACUGGGUCUCUGAAUGUAACCAAAUUGUUCUCCUCUUAUCAUUCCCAUUCACUGGUGUACUUGUUUGUGGAGCCUGCAGAACUGCCUUUUUCAAGAAUGGCAGCUUGGCCUCUAAAUCUGCUUCCCACUGAUGGGAAGAGCUGACAGAAGCUUUAGAGAGGCACAGGGUGAGUUCCUAAAACCAGAGUCAACACACACUCUUCAUCUGUUUUGUGCUUCACUCCCUGCUCAUCUUCCUAAAACACUGAGUUUGGUCAUAUCAUGUCCUACAAGUUGUCAAUGAUUUCCCAUGAUCUUGUCUUCAGGAUAAAGUUCCUUAGUCAAAAGCAAUGAAGACCUGACCUAAUCUGUAAGGCAAAAUCAACACUUUUUAGCCUGGCCUUCCAUGCCCUUCCAUGCCCUUCGAGCCCCCAGAGCACCCAUGGCAGUCCAUCUCUCUCUACUUGUCCAGAGGGACACUCUCUUAGAGCCAGUGGCUCCUACUCACGGUUCCCCGAACACGUCGUGGGAAUGUUUGCCUUCAUACCUUCCCAGAUCAUUUUCCUGAUCUCAGACACCCUCCGUCCUCAUUCAUUCACUCUUCAAUUGUCCAACAAAUAUUUGUUGCUCAUGCAACCUGGAUCACCCACAUAGUUUCAAGACUGCAUCUUCUAAACUAUUUAAAUCCUAUCCAUUCUUCAAGAAAUGUUUCAUGACGCUUCCUUAACUGCUAAGGACCCGCAGAUUCUCUUCCUCUUGGGACUCACACACUGACUCAUCUCCCGAUCUUUUGGUGCUCAGCAAAGUGGAGGCUUCUGUUUUGGACUUAGAGUCAAGACCAUUAAAUAAGACUAUGCUCUAAAAAGUACACCUCCGUGGCCCGGAACGAGUGAAUUAACAUCUAUGAGUUUCCAUUUCCUUGUCUAUAAAAUUGUGAAAUUGCAACUUAAGAUUAGUUCUGAAGAUUAAAUGAGGUAACAUAGGUGAAAAUGCUACAUUUAUGUAAGAAAUUACUCUUUCAUAAGGAUGUCAAUGUUUAAAUACGCAUUUUCUCAAUUUUGUUAAUGAAAUACUUUGAAAUUCUUUUUUCUAAUGAAACCUGCUGAAUGUAAAAGAGACCCGUACUAAAGAAAGAUACCACAUGAAGCACCAAGGGUCUCUUUCUGGAUCUAUCAUGACUCUUGUGACUGUUUCAGCAGCACAGAAAUUAAAGGCGAUUGUUAUUCUGGAGGAAGACAAUGAGUCUCAUCUAUAUCUUGUUUGGGUUGAUUUUGUAAACAGAACAUUCCAAAGAUCAUUCUUGCCUUUUGUUUCCACUGAGAACUAGAAUAAAGUAAAACAAACUAUCAAUUUAAGGAAAGCCUCGAAAUUGUUAGCAAUUUCUUCAGUAACUUUCAUCCAUCAACUGAUUUUAUGAACACAAAUUUGCAGAAAUGGGCAAGAAAAACUACUUAACUCAUUGGUGGGAAGCAGUGGGCUCUCUAAGGAGGGAGAGAUAGCAGUGAUUUCACCACCGGACCGUGGAACACAAAGAGCCUGGAAGAGUCUAUCACUUUCAACUGAAACCGCAAGAAGAACUAAGUAGGUUAAGCCCUAAGAAUGUUCCUAGGUAACCUACUUGAGUUGAAAUUUGACUAAGAAUCCUUACACCCUACCUAAGAGAGGUAACGCUAUUAGGAUCGGAAGUGAUUGGAAGCUUUGUUUCAGAUCUCGUCCAAAAGGGAGAACGGUCAAUGACAAAGCUGCUGUGAAUAGUAUUCUGGGGGCGUGGUGGAACCCCGAUUCACUGCUAUCUCCCGAAUCAGCAACUUGACAGAGCGCGCCUCCCGGGCCUUGGAAGCCUUCCAUUCCGAGCUGGCUGGGUGGGACUCAGGUUUUACGGUAUGCUGGACUUUUUCCCCGUGAGUUAAAACACAUUUAUAGUAACUAAGUGGUUAAUGAUGAGAAAAAACCCCAAACUACUGUACUAAUAAUCAACCUCUGCUAUUUGGUUUGUAAAAAACAAAAAUACAUCUAUAAAA